rnacentral:SRP_RNA from 1 species
GCCAGGUGCAGUGACACAUGUCUGCAAUCUCAGCUACUUUGGAGGCCAAGGGGGGAGGAUUGUUUGAGUCCAAGAGUUCUGGGCUGUAGUGUGUUAUGCCAAUUGGGUGUCCGCAGUAAGUUCAGCAUCAAUAUGGUGACCUCCCAGGAGUGGGGACCACCAGGUUGCCUAUGGAGAGGUGAACCAGCCCAGGUCAGAAAUGGAGCAGGUCAAAACUCCGGUGCUGAUCAGUAGUGGGAUCAAGUCUGUGAAUAGCCACUGCACUCCAGCACUCUAAAAAACAAACAACAUCA